rnacentral:rRNA from 1 species
AUGUCGACGGUGACCCGCGCCUACCUCGACCAGAGGCUCGCCGCCGCCAAGCGCUGCUCCAAAGAAGCUACCAUGGCGGGAGCCAAGGCCGCGGCCGUCGCCACCGUCGCUGCCGCAGUCCCCACACUGGCGAGCGUGAGGAUGCUGCCGUGGGCCAAGGCGCACCUGAACCCCACCGGGCAGGCCCUCAUCAUCUCCACUGUCGCUGGGAUGGCCUACUUCAUCGUCGCCGACAAGACCAUCCUCUCCAUGGCCAUGGCCAGGAGGCACUCCUUCGAGGACGCGCCGGAGCACCUCAAGAACACCUCCUUCCACUAG